rnacentral:tRNA from 1 species
UGUAUAUUGGUGUAUGGUGCAUUUAAAGUUUUGGUCUUUAUGGGUAUGGUUUGAAUCCAUAAUAUACAA